CCACCACCCAGCCAAAUCAGUGAACAAGUGAAACAACCUGCUGUCUACUUCUGUCUUUUCACCUACAGUUAAUUCUCAAUGUGGCAGACAGUAGAAUCUGUUUUAAAAUGUGCGUCAAGUUGUGCUAUGUUUUUGUUCUCAACCCUCCAGCAACUUCCUAUCUGCCUGAAGGAGGGCAUCAGGGUCACAGGUGACAUGGUUCAUCCCUCCCCUUUCUGAUGUCUUCCCUUACUGCCUCCCUCCUUGCUGUGCCUCAGACAAGAGGAAAAAUUUUUAAAAGUCACCUUGGACUGAAGACCAGCAUCAGUUUAUAUGGUGUGAGUUCUUUCCAUUUGCCUUAGAUUGCACCUACACUGACAGAAGAAAGUAAAAAGUAUAAAAUAGAUUCCAGAAUGCAUUCCUUCAUCCUCGAAGGCCCUUCUCAUUAGCAUUGGACCUAAUUAUCUAGAUAUAAUUUGUUAAAGGUUUUACACUUCUUUAAAGAAGGCUACUGAGUCACCAGCAUUUAAUAUUCAUUCAUUCAUUCAUUCAUUCAUUCAUUUAACAACUAUUCACUGAGCACCUACUAUCUGCUAGGCACUGAAGAUACACCAGGAACCAAUAUAGAUUAGGUCCAAGCUCUAUGGAUCUCACAGAUUAUAACCACAGCAACAUUUGCUAUGUGUCAUUAAGAGUUUGAAACUUUAAUAUCUUAACCUAAUAUUUAUAUUUUUCUUAUCA
rnacentral:lncRNA from 10 species